CAAGGGAUUGAGACCCUUUAUUACCAGAGAGGCUUGGGCCCAUGAUUGUACAACCCCUGGGAGCAGCUGCAUGCUGGCAGAGAACCAGGACUCCAGUUGGAAUGGCUGCACACUGCUGAAGUUUGCAUUCUGUCUGUAUAGUUGUCAAAAGUGGUACCAUUUUCCCAUGAUGACAGAAAUGCAAAGCAUUUUCUCACAAGUGCUAAAGAAGAAAAUAACAAAGCACCUCUGACGAUUGCAGGAGGGAAAAAAAAGGAAGAAAAAACAAGCAUCAAAGCUUAGCUUCAACUCAUAGCAGGCCUUUCGACUUUGUAGACUGCACUCCACCCAGGAAAUUUGGAGACUUUGAGCUCCCAUUAAAGUUGAGUUCUAAUAUUAAAAAAAGCAGAAGAAAUUUCAAGAUAUCCAUGAGAGGAAAGAAACAUUAUGUUGACACUGCAGUCCAGUCACUACUACUCUAAACUAUUAUUCUGGCUAAAU